ACAAUCCUUGUACGCCCACAGGCUGAAUCAGGUUCGAAUCAUAGAAAACAUAAACCCUCCAAUAACUUUUAAAAACUUUUAAAUCGAUUUCAUAUGAUUUUUAGCUUUUUACUAUUAAUUUUUGCCUCAUUGUAUUUUUGUUGUUUUUAACUUUCUGUAAAGUGUCUUUGAGCUCCUGUAAAAAGUGCUAUACAAAUAAAAUGUAUUAUUAUUAUUAUUAUUAUCAAAAACGGAGCUGUACAGAAAGAAAGAGGACUUGAGCACAACUUGGUUCCGCCUUCUGCCAGUAUACGGAUUUAAAGCCCAAAAACUCUUGGCGUUUCCGCGUUGUUCUCUAUUUCCUGAAACCAACUUUGGACAGUAGCGUUGUGCGCAUUCGGCGGGAGAGUUGUUGUGGUGCGCUACGCAAUAUCUGUCCUCCCAUAGGCUGUAUCAGGUGUCAAUCAUAGAAAACAUGAACCCCCUAAUAACUUUUAAAAAUGGAGCUGUACAGAAAAAAGAGGACUUGAGCACAAACCAGUCUGACAGUAACUACAUGUCAACAUCACAACCAGGGGGGAGAAACAUUUAUAUUCUGUGUCAUUCAUUUAUAAAGUUUGUCCACAGCUCCAUAAGGAGGCGGGGUUUAUGACCUGUACUGCAGCCCGUCACCAGAGGGCGCUGUUCUCAGAGUGGCUUCACCCAGAGAGGAGGCAGACAGUGUC